CUCCCCCACCUAGUCAAUCUCCGCAACCAGGACCUUCUUCCUCAUCAGAAUAAAGAACGGAACCACCACUUUAAGCGAGGACUUACAGUACUGUACUGUGCAUAUAUAUUCAGCCUUCAACUCCUUCACUACAUGGAUGCCACUUAGAAUAUGUUAUUUGGCUAGCACCAGAUGAUUUUAUUCAGCACAGAGAGGAACCUUCACACAAGGGGUUGGUACAUAGACUAUCUCCACUAAUCUCUUCAUUAUGGGAAGGCCACUUAAGAUAUUUAAUUUUGCCAGAGCCAGACAAUUUUAUUCAGCUUAAGGGGUUAAUUUUUUUGGUUUAACAGAAUCUUAUGAAAUUACCAGCUAGUGUACCUUAUGAAUAAAGAAAAUAGUGCACAAUAAUACAGAUAUAAAAGACAAAUUAAGAGAGUAAGGGUAUACUGUAUGGUGUGAGAUGGAUGUAUCUGAGAGCAGCUGGCAGUUUGUCAAUGUAUCAUGACACUGUAUACCUCACUGUGGACAUGUAUAUCACACAAAUGUUCCAUCACCAAUAAAUGAAAGUUUAAACAACA